GGUCUUGAACACUGCUGGAAGCCUACUAGAUAUUUAAUGUAAUCACCAUGAUAAUGGCUAAGAUUUAUUAAGCAUCUGCUAUGUGCUUUAUGGUGCUAAGAACUUCUCAUGUAUUUACUCAUUGAAUCUUCACAAAAACCUUAUGAACAUCAGAGCUGAUGAAUACUCAGUCAGAAGAAAUGCAGGCCUGCAGGUUUGUCCACAAAGUGUUCCCAUCAACCGUGACGGCUCUCUCAAAUGUUACUGUCUAUAUGAAUCCACCUUGGGAUAUUAGUAAAAUGAGUUUCUGAUACAGAAGAUCUAGAAAGCGCCUGAAAUGCUGAUAUUCUGUCUCCCAGAAUGACAAAGCAAAAGCAAAGAGGAGAAGAAUGAAGUAAAGACAACCAAAGGAAAAGACUGAUGGCUCCUUAAGAAUGAUCUUGAUAAAGGAAUGGUGGCUGAGGGGUCCAUCUCCUAAACCACCCACCUUACUGACUCCCUAGAGCAAUGCCAUACAGAAAGCUGCACCUUGAGGGGAAGACACAAGAAUCCUGGAGUGGAAAAAAAUUGGGUAAUGAUGACAGCCUUCGAGGUCUUGAGAGUAAAGCAGAAGCAAAAAAAAAGUGUUAUUUUUAUCUUUUGAAGAUGGUUCCCUCUUAAGACUUUUGCGAAUGAUUAAGAUUUCAAUUAUGUUCCAGGAAAAAAAUAAGAUUUUUGCUUGACAAAAAAAAUUUUUGUCUAGAACAGGUGGGAAGGAAGAGAUAGUUUAGCCACAUCCAAGAGACCUGUAAAUUGGGUACAGUGAAGUGAAUGGUGUACCAGUCAUAAAAGAAUGUUAACUGGAGAAGUCUCUGCUGUCUUCCUGUAACUGAGGGGGGUGUAACCAUCCUUGUGGAAGCGUCCACUUUUAUUGAAGAUUGGCUAAAUAAAUCUGUGCCUACUGAAACUCAA
ensembl:lncRNA LINC02180 long intergenic non-protein coding RNA 2180